GUGCUAGCUUCAGCAGCACAUAUACUAAAAUUGCAAAGACACAAAGAAGAUUAACAUGGCCCCUGCUCAAGGAUGACAUGAAAAAUUUUGAAGCAUUCUGUAUUUUU